rnacentral:rRNA from 1 species
CCUACGGGAGGCAGCAGUGAGGAAUAUUGGUCAAUGGGCGAGAGCCUGAACCAGCCAAGUCGCGUGAGGGAGUACUGCCCUAUGGGUUGUAAACCUCUUUUGUCGGGGAGCAAAAGCCGGACGUGUCCGGCUGUGAGAGUACCCGAAGAAAAAGCAUCGGCUAACUCCGUGCCAGCAGCCGCGGUAAUACGUAGGUGGCAAGCGUUAUCCGGAUUUACUGGGUGUAAAGGGCGUGUAGGCGGGAAAGCAAGUCAGAUGUGAAAACCAUGGGGUCAACCUGUGGCCUGCAUUUGAAAAUGUUUUUCUUGAGUACUGGAGAGGCAGACGGGAUUCCUAGUGUAGCGGUGGAAUGCGUAGAUAUUAGGGGGAACACCAGUGGCGGAGGCGGUCUGCUGGACAGCAACUGACGCUGAGGCGCGAAAGCGUGGGGAGCAAACAGGAUUAGGUACCCGAGUAGUC